rnacentral:rRNA from 1 species
AGAAUCAACGCUGGCGGCGCGCCUAACACAUGCAAGUCGAACGAGAAAGUGGAGCAAUCCAUGAGUACAGUGGCGUACGGGUGAGUAACACGUGGGUGAUCUACCUCUUAGUGAGGAAUAACCCUGGGAAACCGGGGCUAAUACCGCAUAAGCCUGAGAAGGGAAAGCAGCAAUGCGCUGAGAGAGGAGCCCGCGGCCGAUUAGCUAGUUGGUGAGGUAAAAGCCCACCAAGGCAGAGAUCGGUAGCCGGCCUGAGAGGGCACACGGCCACACUGGCACUGAAACACGGGCCAGACUCCUACGGGAGGCAGCAGUGGGGAAUCUUGCACAAUGGGGGAAACCCUGAUGCAGCGACGCCGCGUGAGCGAUGAAGCCCUUCGGGGUGUAAAGCUCUUUCGUCAGGGAAGAUUAUGACGGUACCUGGAGAAGCAGCUGCGGCUAACUACGUGCCAGCAGCCGCGGU